GACAGAGGUGCCGAGCGUUAGGCGGAAUCACUGGGCUUAAAGCGUGUGUAGGCGGGUCGUUAAGUGUCUUGUGAAAUCCCACCGCUCAACGGUGGAACUGCUGGGCAUACUGGCGAUCUUGAGCCACCUAGGGGCAGACGGAACAAGCGGUGGAGCGGUGAAAUGCGUAGAUAUCAUUUGGAACGCCAAUGGUGAAAACAGGUAGCUGGGGCUGUGCUGACGCUGAGACACGAAAGCCAGGGGAGCGAACGGG
rnacentral:rRNA from 1 species